GCCGCAGUAGCUCAAAUGGAUAGAGCAUUGCGCUUCUAACGCAAUGGUUGAGGGUUCAAGUCCUUCCUGUGGUACUA
rnacentral:tRNA from 1 species